rnacentral:rRNA from 1 species
CAUAUAACUAAGCGGAGGAAAAGAAAAUAACAAUGAUUCCCUUAGUAACGGCGAGUGAACAGGGAAAAGCCCAUCGCUGAAACCAGUUCUCCUUGGGAACACGGUAAUGUAGCGUUUGGAUAAAGUCACUGCAGUUAUUCGUGUCGUCCAAAUAAUCUUGAUUGGCGCCCACAGAGGGUGAAAGGCCUGUCGCGACGAUAUACAGAAUUUCUGCUCGACUUACUCCUCGAGUCGGGUUGCUUGGAAAAGCAGCCUAAAGUAGGUGGUAGACUCCACCUAAGGCUAAAUACUUGCGCGAGUCCGAUAGCAAACAAGUACCGUGAGGGAAAGUUGAAAAGUACUCUGAAGAGAGAGUCAAAAGUACGUGAAACCGUUCAGAGGUAAACGUGUGGGACUCGCAAGUCCUCGGGUGAGAUUCAAGGUGAGGAUGUCACGAGAAAAGACGGUUGAUGCAUGAUUAUUCCUUGUAUAAAAGUCGGUACAUCACUCGUUCACUCUUGGCGUCGUUUCUCACCGGAAUUUCUUAUUCGAGGUGCGUCGCAACCGCUUCACAGUCACCAAACGGGAGUUGUUAGGGCACCGGAUGAUGUUGGUACUUGUGCCGUGUCAUCCAGUUUUCCGAGGCGACCCUCGUCACAAUUGCAAGUUGUUGAGCGUGACGUGAAGCGAGCCAUCCUCACAGCUGACGACAGUCCUUCAUCCUACAAUGUCAUCCGACGCAGGUGGCAUUUGGUGGCUGUUGCAUCCAUCUUCGACAUGUAUCGUAGUUGGACACGCUUGGUGGCCUCUUACUUUUAGUAACCACUUUGUUUGUUCUUUGGAGAUGGUGCUUGACGCUAUCCCGGGAAUCGUGUCAUCAACUCAUCGAAGGUGUUUUGCAUCGUGUCGGCUAGACGGUUUGCGGCGAAUACGUGAGAAACCCACACGACCCGUCUUGAAACACGGACCAAGAAGUCUGACACGUGUGCGAGUCAACGAGCUUUAAAACUCCGAGGCGUAAUGAAAGUAAAGGUGGAACUAGCUUCUGCCGAGGUGGGAUCCUUAUUCACUGUUGAUGAGGCGCACCACCGGCCCGCGUUGAAACACCAGUGUACAACGCGGAGCAAGAGCAUACGUGUCGGGACCCGAAAGAUGGUGACCUAUACGAGGCGAAGUCGAAGCCGGAGGAAACUCUGGUGGAAGGCUGUAGCGAUUCUGACGUGCAAAUCGAUCGCCCGAGCUUCGUAUAGGGGCGAAAGACUAAUCGAACCAUCUAGUAGCUGGUUCCCUCCGAAGUUUCCCUCAGGAUAGCUGGCACUAAUCGAAAUCAUUUUUACCCGGUAAAGCGAAUGAUUAGAGGCUUCGGGGAACAUCUUAUCCUCAACCUAUUCUCAAACUUUAAAUGGGUAAGAUGCUUUGUCCUCUUGAACAUUGCGAUUGGUAUAAAGCAUAAACGAAUGAUGAGUGCCCAGUGGGCCAUUUUUGGUAAGCAGAACUGGCGCUGUGGGAUGAACCAAACGUCGGGUUAAGGCGCCUAAUUUUAACGCCCAUCAGACCCCAUUGAAAGGCGUUGGUCGAUAGAGACAGCAGGACGGUGGCCAUGGAAGUUGGAAUCCGCUAAGGAGUGUGUAACAACUCACCUGCCGAAUCAACCAGCCCUGAAAAUGGAUGGCGCUCAAGCGUUAAGCCUAUACCCGACCGUCGCGACAGCUGCUGUUUGGAGGUGUGGGUACCACUCGAAGACGUCAUGCCUGUAUGUUGUGACUUUCGAUGUACCCAUAUGUACCUUCUCUCAACAACGGGCUACACGUCGCGACGAGUAGGAGGGUCGCUGAAGUGGCUUUGAAGCCUCGGACGCGAGUCCGGGUGGAGCCGCUUCAGGUGCAGAUCUUGGUGGUAGUAGCAAAUAUUCAAACGAGAACCUUGAAGGCCGAAGUGGAGAAGGUUUCCAUGUGAACAGUAUUUGAACAUGGGUCAGUCGGCCCUAAGUGAUGUGCUAAUGUUAUCCAAUCCGGUUGCAUGAUUACAUUGUUAUUAUCACAAUUCGGUGGUGCAGGCUGUUCGCACGUGUCGAGUAGUUUUGCGCGCGCGCGUUGAGAUCACCUUGUUCACGAUCCACGCAACCAACACAAAAUCCACUCACAUCCCAACCCACCCUUGUCUUCACGCACAAAAACCGGUAUGUUCAUCGCGAAAGGAAAUCGGGUUAAUAUUCCCGAACCUGGACUCGGAAAUUCGUUCAGAGAUCCUGGGUUUUGUCGCAUUUUGUGUCGAUUCUCAGCCUCUGAUCAAGUGCGGCAACGCAACCGACCUCGGAGACACCGGCGAUAGCCCCGGGAAGAGUUCUCUCUUCUUUGUUAAGGACCAUUUCCAUGGAAUCGGUUUGACCGGAGAUAUGGAAGCAGGCUCCUGUAAAGCACGACAUCUUUUGUCGUGUCCGGUGCGCCAUCGUCGGUACUUAAAAAUCUGAGCGAGACGGUGUUAUUUUCGAGCCAGACCGUACCCAUAUCCGCAGCAGGUCUCCAAGGUGCUCAGCCUCUGGCCGCCUAGACUGAUGUAGUCAAGGGAAGUCGGCAAAUUAGAUCCGUACCUUCGGUAGAAGGAUUGGCUCUAUGGGCUGGGCCGGUCGGGCUGAGUCACGAAGCGCUUUCUUCGUAUGAUGGGUGUGGCGUCGCCGCGUAUUUCGGUACGCGCGAUGUUGGACCGUGUUGUACGUGGAGUGUGGAAUGAUUCAGCUACGUUGUUUGNNNCNGUCUCUCGCGGACGGGCAGACGAUUUCGACCGGCAUU